rnacentral:tRNA from 1 species
GCCCGGGUAGCUCAAUCGGUAGAGCGUGUGGCUCUUAUAACACAUAUAUAGAUCACCUCAAGGUCGUGGGUUCGAGCCCCACCUCGGGCU